rnacentral:rRNA from 1 species
UCUGGUACUUGUAUCAGAAUGAAGAGUAGCGAACGGGUGAGUAACGCGUGGGUAACCUACCUCUUAGCGGGGGACAACUAUUGGAAACGAUAGCUAAUACCGCAUAACAAUAUUAAACACAUGUUUAACAUUUGAAAGUACCAAUUGGUACACUAGGAGAUGGACCCGCGUUGUAUUAGCUAGUUGGUAGUGUAAUGGACUACCAAGGCGAUGAUACAUAGCCGACCUGAGAGGGUGAUCGGCCACAUUGGGACUGAGACACGGCCAAACUCCUACGGGAGGCAGCAGUAGGGAAUCUUCGGCAAUGGACGAAAGUCUGACCGAGCAACGCCGCGUGAGUGAAGAAGGUUUUCGGAUCGUAAAACUCUGUUGUUAGAGAAGAACGUUGUGUAGAGUGGAAAAUUACACAAGUGACGGUAUCUAACCAGAAAGGGACGGCUAGCUACGUGCCAGCAGCCGCGGUAAUACGUAGGUCCCGAGCGUUGUCCGGAUUUAUUGGGCGUAAAGCGAGCGCAGGUGGUUUAAUAAGUCUGAUGUAAAAGGCAGUGGCUCAACCAUUGUGUGCAUUGGAAACUGUUAGACUUGAGUGCAGUAGAGGAGAGUGGAAUUCCAUGUGUAGCGGUGAAAUGCGUAGAUAUAUGGAGGAACACCGGUGGCGAAAGCGGCUCUCUGGACUGUAACUGACACUGAGGCUCGAAAGCGUGGGUAGCAAACAGGAUUAGAUACCCUGGUAGUCCACGCCGUAAACGAUGAGUGCUAGUUGUUUGGGGCUAUCCAGCCCUAAGUGACGCAGCAAACGCAUUAAGCACUCCGCCUGGGGAGUACGACCGCAAGGUUGAGACUCAAAGGAAUUGACG